UUGGCCUAAAUAUGUCGAAAUUUUCUUAACUAAAAAAAUGCAGUUUGUGAUAUGCCAAAACUCAUAAUUACUUCAAAAAUGUUUAUCUUUAGUUGUAUUUUUCACCCAUAGAGGUCGCCAUUCUUUCACCAGUGGGUUGAUGACUCGUUUUUUCACCUGUUCUGUACUGGAAUCUACAGAGUAAACACAGCAAGCUUAACUUUACCCGAGUUUAUCAGAUUGUGUUUGAAUGGUGUAAUUUUAGAUAAUACCACACUGUGUCACUGUUGGCUGUAAGUCAAACAAACAAAAACUGGUGAGUGGAUAAGUUUCCAUAUGUACAAAAAGAAAAGCCACAGCCGAACAGAACUUACAAAGGGCCUAUUUGGCCCUCAACAUUUCUGUCCAAAAGACUUGGAGUCACUUGUAUGAGCAAAACUGAGGAAGGCUCUAACAGCUGUUUCUGGGCCGGACAUGGAGGUAUGGCUGCGUCCUCUGGUCGGAUCACACAGUCCUACACCUCUGGUACCACGGGUACAUGUCGCUCAUCGUUUCAUUUAUGAAGCUGAAGGCAGCAGCAGCUCCUAUGUCCAACCCUCCCCUUCCUCUGUUUGGUCCUCAUCAUCAUCAUCACUCCAUGUCAUUUCUCCAUUCCAAUCGAUUUCAACGCGCCGAUUCAGUUUGAAAAGACUAAAAGACGUUAGUAUCACUGUUUGGCUGGACAGAGCUAGUUUGACCAUCAGGCGACAUUCGUGUGAAAAUAUUUUAUUCAAAUUAAGAACUAAACAGCCUUCAUUAUUACUACUGUAUUGUUUAUACAUGUAAAAUAAAUAUUUCUUUAGUUUAUUGUUACUAA